rnacentral:tRNA from 1 species
GAAUAUGAAGCAACUUGCAAUUAGUUUCGACCUAAUCAUAUGGUAUUAAAUUACCCUUAUUCU